CGGGGUAUAGCGCAGUUGGUAGCGCGCAUCGUUCGGGACGAUGAGGCCGCCGGUUCGAGUCCGGCUACCCCGA
rnacentral:tRNA from 1 species